CCUACGGGCGGCUGCAGUGGGGAAUAUUGCGCAAUGGGCGAAAGCCUGACGCAGCGACGCCGCGUGAGGGACGACGGCCUUCGGGUUGUAAACCUCUUUCAGCAGGGAUGAAGCGAAAGUGACAGUACCUGCAGAAGAAGCACCGGCUAACUACGUGCCAGCAGCCGCGGUAAUACGUAGGGUGCAAGCGUUGUCCGGAAUCAUUGGGCGUAAAGAGCUCGUAGGCGGUCUGUCGCGUCGGAUGUGAAAACCCAGGGCUCAACCCUGGGCCUGCA
rnacentral:rRNA from 1 species